AUGUUUCCCACGGUUUAUCGCCUCAUUGAGCUGGCAUUGCUACUACCGGUGGCGACAGCAACAGUUGAAAGGGCUUUUUCAGCAAUGAAAAUCAUCAAGACCGAGUUGCGCAGCAAGAUGUCCGAUGGCUGGCUUAAUGACUUGAUGGUGUGUUACAUUGAACAAGGGAUAUUCAAAAGUCUUGAUCUUGGUAAAAUUAAAUAA
rnacentral:rRNA from 1 species